rnacentral:rRNA from 1 species
GCUCAGGAUGAACGCUAGCUACAGGCUUAACACAUGCAAGUCGAGGGGCAGCAUUUUAGUUUGCUUGCAAACUGAAGAUGGCGACCGGCGCACGGGUGAGUAGCACGUAUCCAACCUGCCGAUAACUCCGGAAUAGCCUUUCGAAAGAAAGAUUAAUACCGGAUGGCAUACGAAUAUCGCAUGAUAUUUUUAUUAAAGAAUUUCGGUUAUCGAUGGGGAUGCGUUCCAUUAGUUUGUUGGCGGGGUAACGGCCCACCAAGACUACGAUGGAUAGGGGUUCUGAGAGGAAGGUCCCCCACAUUGGAACUGAGACACGGUCCAAACUCCUACGGGAGGCAGCAGUGAGGAAUAUUGGUCAAUGGGCGCGAGCCUGAACCAGCCAAGUAGCGUGAAGGAUGAAGGCUCUAUGGGUCGUAAACUUCUUUUAUAUGGGAAUAAAGUUUUCCACGUGUGGAAUUUUGUAUGUACCAUAUGAAUAAGGAUCGGCUAACUCCGUGCCAGCAGCCGCGGUAAUACGGAGGAUCCGAGCGUUAUCCGGAUUUAUUGGGUUUAAAGGGAGCGUAGGUGGAUUGUUAAGUCAGUUGUGAAAGUUUGCGGCUCAACCGUAAAAUUGCAGUUGAAACUGGCAGUCUUGAGUACAGUAGAGGUGGGCGGAAUUCGUGGUGUAGCGGUGAAAUGCUUAGAUAUCACGAAGAACUCCGAUUGCGAAGGCAGCUCACUAGACUGUCACUGACACUGAUGCUCGAAAGUGUGGGUAUCAAACAGGAUUAGAUACCCUGGUAGUCCACACAGUAAACGAUGAAUACUCGCUGUUUGCGAUAUACAGUAAGCGGCCAAGCGAAAGCAUUAAGUAUUCCACCUGGGGAGUACGCCGGCAACGGUGAAACUCAAAGGAAUUGACGGGGGCCCGCACAAGCGGAGGAACAUGUGGUUUAAUUCGAUGAUACGCGAGGAACCUUACCCGGGCUUAAAUUGCAACAGAAUAUAUUGGAAACAGUAUAGCCGUAAGGCUGUUGUGAAGGUGCUGCAUGGUUGUCGUCAGCUCGUGCCGUGAGGUGUCGGCUUAAGUGCCAUAACGAGCGCAACCCUUAUCUUUAGUUACUAACAGGUCAUGCUGAGGACUCUAGAGAGACUGCCGUCGUAAGAUGUGAGGAAGGUGGGGAUGACGUCAAAUCAGCACGGCCCUUACGUCCGGGGCUACACACGUGUUACAAUGGGGGGUACAGAAGGCGGCUACCUGGUGACAGGAUGCUAAUCCCAAAAACCUCUCUCAGUUCGGAUCGAAGUCUGCAACCCGACUUCGUGAAGCUGGAUUCGCUAGUAAUCGCGCAUCAGCCAUGGCGCGGUGAAUACGUUCCCGGGCCUUGUACACACCGCCCGUCAAGCCAUGAAAGCCGGGGGUACCUGAAGUACGUAACCGCAAGGAGCGUCCUAGGGUA